UCUAAAUCAUGUGUGAUGCACUCUGGAUUUAUUUUAUUUUUUUGCUGUACAGGUUAUUCAGGAUGAUAUGAACACUGUGGACACUUUUCAGCAAGUUGCAACAUUGAAAUACAGAGAUAAAAACAUUUUCCAAAAACAAGGUCUAAAUAAUGUUUGAUGCACUCUGGAUAUAAAAUUGUUGUUGUACUGUUUAAACUAGAUGAUGGGAGCACUGUGGACAAUUUUCAGCAAGUUUCAACAUUGAAACACAGAAAUAACCACAUUUCCAAAAACAAGGUCUAAAUAAUGUUUGAUGCACUCUGGAUGUAAUUUUUUUUGCUGUACUGUUUAUUCAGGAUGAUGUGAACACUGUGGACAAUUUUUAGCAAAUUUUAACAUUGAAAUACAGAAAUAAACACUUUUCCGAAAACAAGGUCUAAAUCAUGUUUGAUGCACUCUGGAUGUAUUUUUUUGCUGUACUGUUAAUUCAGGAUGAUAUGAACACUUUGGACAAUUUUCAGCAAAUUUCAAAAUUGAAAUGUAACAGACGUGACAGUCUGGAGACGCCGUG
ensembl:lncRNA